rnacentral:lncRNA from 1 species
AUUUGACAAAGUUCAACAUGAUCAUAAUAAAAUCACUUAAGUAAUGAGUUAUAGAAAGAACAUAUCUCAGAACAAUAUAAACUAUAUAUGACAAACCAAUAGCCAACAUAAUGCUAAAUGGGGAAGAUCCUGAGAGUAUUUCAUACAAAAAAUGGAACAUCAGAAGAGUUCUUACUCUAUCUGCUCUUAUUCAGUGUGGUCCUUCCACCCCUACAUGCUACUUUAUUUUUCUCUGAAGAUGUUCUUCCCACCUUUCAACAUUGUUUUCAUCUAGGGUCUUCACCAAGGCUGUUUGAUUCUACUGUUCCUGACAAAUCCAAAGUACCGAUAUUGGAGGUCUAUGCGAAGCCAUCAACUGAGUCCAUUAUUGAAGAUAAGGUGUAAAAGUAUAUUUGAGUGAAAAUACUGGUUUGAAUUAUUAUGCUUCUUAAAGGAACACUCCAAGGGGCCUAUUUCUGCUAGGCAGGCUUUACUCCCUGGAAGUUUCACAAGAUUUUACCCAGGUCCACAGGGAUUUUUUUGUUUCCUCCAAGUGGCUUGGGUCACUUAUCCUGUUCUGCCUUCUACAGCACACAAAGCUUGUCUCUUACAAUUUGGGGGGCUCCACUCUACAGCUACUGCUGUACUUGGUAGUCAUUCUAUGGUACAUCUCCAAAAUUUUGGGGUCUUCUACUGCAACUGGUUUGUGCUCACACCAGUAUCCUCUCAUAGGCUCUUUUCAUGUGGCAAACUCUCACAUUUUCUCCAGGACCCCUUCAAUCCAUUGGUACUCUUGAUGCACUUUCACCAAUGGCCUCUGCUGGCUUCUCAGUGCUCAGCCUUAGAUGCUCUGCACAAUCCUUUUAUGUCUUCAAAACCACAUGGGUGACUCUUACAGUACCAUGUUUGGCUGGCAGCUUGAGAUACAACCUUGGCUACCUCUGAAUACAAAUUGCAUGUACUGAUGUUGAGAAAAUACUUCCUAGAAGUGUUUACCCCCUUGAUGUUGACCUCUUACACUUCAAUCACAGCUAAAUUUGCAGCUCCAGCUACUCAGCAUCAAUUGUUCCAGCAAAGCAACGCUUUCACUUUAGUGGUUCUGGUUUCCUACUGACCAUACCUGAUUCCUCAGCUCCAGCUAACCAGACACCAUAGGUUCUUCAUACAACUGUCCAAAGUUCUUCUAUACUCCUCCCCAAAACAUGGUGAAAUCUAUCACCACAAUAUCUCACAAUCCUGGUACUAAUUUGUUUUCAUUAGGGUUGGUAUUGCUGCAACUUAGGAGGAAUGAGUUUAUUUCAUUUACACUUCCAUGUCACAGAUCAUUAUCAAAAGCAGUGAGGGCCCAAACUUAAAGAGAGCAGGAGCCUGAAGGAACAAGAGUGCCACUUACUGGCUUGUUCCCUAUAUUUAAGGGAGCUAUUUAUGUCCAUCUUAAAGACCUCUAUCAUCAUCAUGAGAUGUGAUUUUAAAUCUGAAUCUUGCUUUUCCUGUGUGGUAGGGCAUCCAGGACUUGCUAUGGUGGGAGAACUGGGUUCUGGUGAUGCCAUAUAGACUUGGUUUCUGUUGCUUAUGUUCUUGAACCUCUAGCCAUCUGGUUAUCUCUUGUGCUACAUGCCCUUGCUAUCUCUUACUGAAGCCUAUCCCUCCAGCGAUCCGGGUUGUGUCAAAACUCCUCAGAGUCCAGCUGUCUCUGAUCCUGUGAUUCUGUGAUCCUGGGUUUGUCAUAGCUCCUGGAAGUCAAGCUGCCUCUGGGGUCCUGAUCAAGCUUCUGAGGUUCUAUGGUCCUGUGCAUGUUAGAGCACCUGAGAGUCAAGCAUUCUCUAGGUGUUGUGGGACUGGGUGCAGAGCUAGCAACCAAGGCCUGCUCAGGGCAGCAGCUCAGACCAGAAAGAACCUGUGCCAGUAUCUGGGUGGGGUGAGGUGAGAGGGUAUUCCUGUGUCCCUGAACCCCGAGGGUCCCAGUUACUCCCGGUGUUGGGGCAGAAGUUGUGGCCUCCUCACUUAUAAUCCUGGGCAUGUUAGAGUACCUGGGAAUGAAGUUUCUGGAUGUUGUAGGACUGGGUGCAGAGCUAGUGCCCAAGUUCUGCUCAGGGCACUGGCUCAGACUGGAAGGGCCCAUUACUAUUUUUUUAAUGCAUUCUUAGUUCUGAAAUACAGACACAAAUAAUCUUCAUACAUUUCAUUUUAAUAUGAUCUCUGACAUAUUCUAAGAGAUUAGCCAGCACCAAAGAUUUUCACUGUUCAUUACAUUUACAAGGUUUCUCUUGUGUAUGUAUUCUCAGAUGAGUUCUGAGAUGGUCUUUCUUGGUUUACAAAUUCUUCACAGUCACUCAAUUUGUUGAUCUUCUCUCCUGUAUUUAUUUCUGACAAGUUCUAAAAUUGUCUUUAUUUUCAAUAGAUUGUUCAGUUCAUUUGUAAGGUUUGCCUCCUGUAUGAUUUCUCUAAGGAAUUCUAAGAUAGGUUUAAGGGCAAAAGAUUUGUCACAUUAACUACAUUUGUAAGGCUCUUCUAUAUGUAUGCUCUGAUGCCUUUUAGAUAGUUUUUCUCAGGAAUGGACUUGUCAUACUCACAGAAUUUGUAAAAUUUCUUUCCUGUAUCAAUUCUCAGAUGAAUUUGAAGACACCUUUUAAAAUAAAGAUUUGUCAUAUUCAUUACAUUUGUAAGGUUCCCCCUACGGUUCUCUGCUGAGUUCUAAUAGAGUCUUUCCUGAUAAAGAGUGUUCAAUAUUCCUUUCAUUCCUGAGGUUUCUCUUCUUUAUGUAUUAUCUGAUAUUUUCUAAGACUAUCUUUAAAGGUAAAACAUUUGCCACAUUCAUUAAUUUGUAAGUUUUCUUUCCUGUAUGAAUUCUCUGGUGAACUGUGAGAUGACUUUUCUAGGUAAAGCAACUGACACAUUCACAGCAUUUGCAAUGUAUCUUAGUUAGGGUCUUACUACUGUGAAACACACUCCAUAACCAAGGCAACUCUUAGAAAAGACAAGAUUUAAUUGGGGCUGGCCAACAAGUUCAGAGGUUCAGUCCCUUAUCAUCAAGGAGAGAGCUAGGCAGUAUAUCAGCAGACCUGGAGCUUAAGGAGCUGAGAGUUCUACUUCUUGUUCUAAAGGCAAACAGGAGAAGACUGGCUUCCAGGCCGCUAUGAUGAGUGUGUUAAAGGUCAUGCCCAAAGUGACAGAACUGCUCCAGAAGGCCACAAAUACUCCAACAUGUCCACACAUCCUAAUAGUGCCUCUCCCCGGGUCAAGCAUAUACAAACAAUCACAUAGCGUUUCUCUCAUGUAUGAACACUUUGAUGAUAUCUAAGCCUCUUUCUGGGUUAAGAAUUUGUCCCAUUCACCUCACCAGUAAUGUUUCUCGCCUGUGUGAUUUUUCUGGUGUUUUCUAAGAGAGCUUUUACUUGAAGCUUUUUACUUGUCACACUCACUAUAUUUAUAAGGUUUCUCUGUUGUAUGAAUUCUUCCAUGAAUCAUAAGAUCAUAUUUCUGGGUAACAUAUUUGCUACAUUUACUACAUUUGUAAGGUAUUUUUCCUGCAUCAAGUCCUUGAUGACUUCUAAAAGUGACUUUAUCAAUAAAGCAUUUGCCACAUUCACUACUUUUGUAAGGUUUCUUCUGUGUAUGAAUUCUUUCAUGGCUUCUAACACUGCCCUUUUCAGUAAAGCACUUGUGGCAUUCACUGCAUUUGUAAGGUUUAUUUCAUGUAUGAAUUCUCUGAUGACAUAUAAGGGCACGUUUGUAGCUGAAGCAUUUCUCACAUUCACUACAUUUGUAAGGUUUCUCUCCUGUAUGGAUUCUUUGAUGAACCGUAAGUUGGGAUUUCUUGGUAAAGCAUUUGUCACAUUUACUACAUUUGUAAGGUUUCUCUCCUGUGUGAAUUCUCUGAUGACUUCUGAGACUACUUUUUUGGGUAAAGCAUUUGUCACAUUCACUACAUUUGUAAGGUUUCUCUCCUGUGUGAAUUGUUUGAUGUCUUCUAAGACUGCCUUUCUCAGUAAACCAUUUUCCACAUUCAUUACAUUUGUAAGGCUUCUCUCCUGUAUGAAUUCUCUGAUGCACUGUAAGAAGGCAUUUCAGGGUAAAGGUUUUGCCACAUUCACUACAUUUGAAAGGUUUCUCUCCUGUAUGAAUUAUUUGAUGACUUCUGAGACUUCCUCUUUCAGUAAAGCAUUUUUUGCAUUCACUACAUUUGUAAGGUUUCUCUCCUGUAUGCAUUCUCUGAUGAAUUGUAAGUUGGUAUUUCUGGGCAAAGCAUUUGUCACAUUCAUUACAUUUAUAAGGUUUCUCGUUUCUCUCCUGUAUGAAUUCUCAGAUGAAUACUAAGACUGCUUUUGUGGUUAAAGCAUUUGUCACAUUCAAUACAUUUAUAAGGUUUCCGUCCUGCAUGAAUUCUCUGAUGACUUCUAAGACUGCUUUUUGCAGUAAAGCAUUUGUCACAUUCAAUACAUUUGUAAGGUUUGUCUCCUGUAUGAAUUCUCAUAUGAAUAACAAGACUGCAUUUUUGAGUAAAGCAUUUGUGACACUCACUACAUUCAUAAGGUUUCUCUCCCGUAUGAAUUCGUUGAUGACUUCUAAGAUUGGAAUUCUUGAUAAAAGACAUGUCACAUUCACUACAUUUGUAAGGUUUGUCUCCUGUGUGAAUUCUCUGAUGAACUGUAAGUUGGUAUUUCUGGGGAAAGCAUUUCUCACAUUCAUUACAUUUGUAAGGUUUCUCUCCUGUGUGACUUCUCUGAUGUUUUCUAAUUUGCGAGUAGUAGAUAAAAGAUUUGCCACAAUGACUGCAUUUGUAAGUAUUGCCACGAGGGUGGAUCCUCUCAUGUUUUUUAAAGCCUGAUAUAUUAUAAAAGCAUUUACCACAUUUGCAAGGACAUUGUCCGUAAUGAAUUUUGUAAUGUUGUUUGAGCUGUGACAAAUGCAGAAAGGAUUCACUGCAGUGUGUACAUUUAUAGGAUUUCUCUCUAGUAUGUGCUCUCUGAUGUCUACUGUCACCUGAGUACAUGUUGAAGCAUUUCCUAUAUUUCCUGAAAUUGUGUGUCUUUUUUCCACUACUGUUACUUUGUUUCAGCAUGAGUUUAUGUUUUGAAUCAAACAGAUUUUCAUGCUCUGUAGUGUUAGGUUCUUUCUCUCCUAUAUGGAUUCUUCCAUUUUGACUAAUGAUGGAACACACAUUCAAACAGUUCACACAGUCUUGGAAUUUGCAAGGUUCAACUCCAGUCUUCCCAAUUUUGUUUUUGUUUAGGUUCGAUACUUUGACAGACUCAUGUUUAUGUUUGGUUCUGGAAUGUGUAAUUUGUGAGGAUUCAUGAAUCACUUUGACAGGCUCAUUACAUUUGUAAGACUUUUCUUGGAUAAUCACAUGCUUGUGGACAAUGUGCUUUGUACCUUGAUCCAACACCUUCUCACAUUUAAGAAAAUUCUC